UCAACUGAGGAUCAGGUACAUUUUAUUUUCUAGUUCUUGGAUGCUCCACCCCUUUCUGAUGCUGCCCUGAGCAACUGCCCAUAUCAAAACCCACCAAUAAAAAGUUUUAUCUUC